rnacentral:rRNA from 1 species
GGUUUGAUCAUGGCUCAGAUUGAACGCUGGCGGGGAUGCUUACACACGCAAGUCGAACGGCAGCACGACUUCUGGUCUGGUGGCGAGUGGCGAACGGGUGAGUAAUGUAUCGGAACGUGCCUAGUAGCGGGGAUAACCACGCGAAAAAGUGUGAAGCACACGUAUACGCCCUUCGGGGGAAAGUGAUUCUCUGGGCCUGCACUAGAGCGGCCGAUAUCGGAUUAGCUAGUUGGUGGGUGCAUCGCUCACUGGUUGCGACGAUCCGUAGCUGGUUUGAGAGGACGACCACACUGGGACUGAGACACGGCCCAGGACUUACGGAGGCAGCAGGGGGAAUUUGGACAAUGGGGGAAACCCCGAUCCAGCCAUCCCGCGUGUGCGAUGAAGGCCUUCGGGUCGUAAAGCACUUUGGCAGGAAGAAACGGCACGGAUAAUACCCUGUGCAACUGACGGCAAUUUGGGUAAGAAGGGGCACCGCUAACUACGUGCCAGCAGCCGCGGUAAUACGUAGGGGUGCAAGCGUUAAUCGGAAUUACUGGGCGUAAAGCGUGCGCAGGCGGUUCGGAAAGAGAUGCGUGAAAUCCCAGAGCUUAACUUUGAACUCGCAUUUUUAAUCACCGAGCUAGAGUGUGUCAGAGGGAGUGUGACCCGCGUGUAGCAGUGAAAUGUAGAUAUGCGGAGGAACACCGAUGGCGAAGGCAGCCUCCUGGGAUAACACUGACGCUCAUGCACGAAAGCGUGGGGAGCAAACAGGAUUAGAUACCCUGGUAGUCCACGCCCUAAACGAUGUCAACGAGCUGUUAAGCCCGGCCUUGGUAGCGCAGCUAACGCGGUUAAUUGCCGCCUGGGGAGACGGUCGCAAGAUUAAAACUCAAAGGAAUUGACAACUUUGCACAAGCGGUGGAUGAUGUGGAUUAAUUCGAUGCAACGCGAAAAACCUUACCUACCCUUGACAUGUCUGGAAUCCCGAAGAGAUUUGGAGUGCUCGCAAGAGAACCUGAACAGGUGCUGCAUGGCUGUCGUCAGCUCGUGUCGUGAGAUGUUGGGUUAAGUCCCGCAACGAGCGCAACCCUUGUCAUUAGUUGCUAAUGAAAGGGCACUCAAUGAGACUGCCGUGACAAACCGAGAAGGUGUAGAUGACGUCGUCCUCAUGGCCCUUAUGGUAGGGGCCACACGUCAUACAAUGAAAUGGGACAGAGAGUGGUCGCCAACCGCGAGGGGGAGCCAAUCCCAGAACCCGAUCAGCCGGAUCGCAGUCUGCAACCUGACUGCGUGAAGUCGGAAUCGCUAGUAAUCGCGGAUCAGCAUGUCGCGGUGAAUACGUUCCCCGGGUCUUGUACACACCGCCCGUCACACCAUGGGGAGGGGCUACCAGAAGUAGUUAGUCAACCGCAGGAGGGCGAUUACCACGGUAGGAUUCAUGACUGGGGUGAAGUCGUAACAAGGUAG